rnacentral:rRNA from 1 species
UACAGAGGUCUCAAGCGUUGUUCGGAUUCAUUGGGCGUAAAGGGUGUGUAGGUGGCGCGCUAAGUCGGGUGUGAAAUUUCGGAGCUUAACUCCGAAACUGCAUUCGAUACUGGCGUGCUUGAGGACUGGAGAGGAGACUGGGAUUCAUGGUGUAGCAGUGAAAUGCGUAGAUAUCGUAAGGAAGACCAGUGGCGAAGGCGAGUCUCUGGACAGCAACUGACGCUGAGGCACGAAGGCCAGGGGAGCAAACGGG